AUACUUACCUGGCAGGGGAGAUACCAUGAUCAUGAAGGUGGUUUUCCCAGGGCGAGGCUUAUCUACUGCACUCUGGGUGUGCUGACCCCUGCGAUUUCCCCAAAUGUGGGAAGCUCGACUGCAUAAUUUGUGGCAGCGGGAGACUUCGUUCGUGCUUUCCCCUG
rnacentral:snRNA from 1 species